GGGCUUAUCUUCGCGGAUGCAUCUAGAUUAGAGUUUGAUCCUGGCUCAGGAUGAACGCUGGCGGCGUGCUUAACACAUGCAAGUCGAACGGUGAAGCCCAGCUUGCUGGGUGGAUCAGUGGCGAACGGGUGAGUAACACGUGAGCAAUCUGCCCCUGACUCUGGGAUAAGCGCUGGAAACGGCGUCUAAUACUGGAUAUGAGCUGCGACCGCAUGGUCAGUAGUUGGAAAGAUUUUCGGUCAGGGAUGAGCUCGCGGCCUAUCAGCUUGUUGGUGAGGUAAUGGCUCACCAGGGCGUCGACGGGUAGCCGGCCUGAGAGGGUGACCGGCCACACUGGGACUGAGACACGGCCCAGACUCCUACGGGAGGCAGCAGUGGGGAAUAUUGCACAAUGGGCGGAAGCCUGAUGCAGCAACGCCGCGUGAGGGAUGACGGCCUUCGGGUUGUAAACCUCUUUUAGCAAGGAAGAAGCGAAAGUGACGGUACUUGCAGAAAAAGCGCCGGCUAACUACGUGCCAGCAGCCGCGGUAAUACGUAGGGCGCAAGCGUUAUCCGGAAUUAUUGGGCGUAAAGAGCUCGUAGGCGGUUUGUCGCGUCUGCUGUGAAAUCCCGAGGCUCAACCUCGGGCCUGCAGUGGGUACGGGCAGACUAGAGUGCGGUAGGGGAGAUUGGAAUUCCUGGUGUAGCGGUGGAAUGCGCAGAUAUCAGGAGGAACACCGAUGGCGAAGGCAGAUCUCUGGGCCGUAACUGACGCUGAGGAGCGAAAGGGUGGGGAGCAAACAGGCUUAGAUACCCUGGUAGUCCACCCCGUAAACGUUGGGAACUAGUUGUGGGGACCAUUCCACGGUUUCCGUGACGCAGCUAACGCAUUAAGUUCCCCGCCUGGGGAGUACGGCCGCAAGGCUAAAACUCAAAGGAAUUGACGGGGACCCGCACAAGCGGCGGAGCAUGCGGAUUAUUCGAUGCACGCGAGACCUUACCAGCUGACAUACACCAGACGCCCUAGAAAUAGGGACUCUUGACACUGUGACAGUGGUGCAUGCUGUCGUCAGCUCGUGUCGUGAGAUGUGGUUAGGUCCGCACGAGCGCACCCUCGUUCUAUGUGCAGGCACGUAUGGUGGCACUCAUGGCAUACUGGCGGUCACUCAGCAGUGCGAUACGUCAUCAUCAUGACCUAAUGCUUGGGGUC
rnacentral:rRNA from 1 species